UGGGCGCAAGCCUGAUGCAGCCAUGCCGCGUGUGUGAAGAAGGCCUUAGGGUUGUAAAGCACUUUCAGUCAGGAGGAAAGGUUAGUAGUUAAUACCUGCUAGCUGUGACGUUACUGACAGAAGAAGCACCGGCUAACUCCGUGCCAGCAGCCGCGGUAAUACGGAGGGUGCGAGCGUUAAUCGGAAUUACUGGGCGUAAAGCGUACGCAGGCGGUUUGUUAAGCGAGAUGUGAAAGCCCCGGGCUUAACCUGGGAACUGCAUUUCGAACUGGCAAACUAGAGUGUGAUAGAGGGUGGUAGAAUUUCAGGUGUAGCGGUGAAAUGCGUAGAGAUCUGAAGGAAUACCGAUGGCGAAGGCAGCCACCUGGGUCAACACUGACGCUCAUGUACGAAAGCGUGGGGAGCAAACAGGAUUAGAUACCCUGGUAGUCCACGCCGUAAACGAUGUCUACUAGGAGCUGGGGUCUUCGGACAACUUUUCCAAAGCUAACGCAUUAAGUAGACCGCCUGG
rnacentral:rRNA from 1 species